UAAUGAUGACCUAUAUAUCGAUACGUAUAAGUUACGAUGCGCUGACAUUUUAAGCAUGAUGAGUGACUGUUGGGACUGUGAACGUUUCAAUGACAGCGCAACUGGAAAGCUUUUUACAAAGGUAUUAUAAUGGAAGUCCCUGUUACAAAGAGAGAGCUGAUCGCUAUAGGAAGAUUGAUACUAUAGAUGAAGAUCUGCUGACGAAGCCAUUCAUAACAUGCAGAAGAAGAAUAGUUGAAGUUUCACUUCUCAAAAGUCAGGGAGCAGUUCUCCAGAGACCAUGGGAAGGCUCAUGAAGGAGCUGGAUUCAGUCCAUACAAAGCGUUCCAACAUUGGACACACUUACCUGACUUUAGAGAGGGCUUGGUACAUAUGCGGUGACUCCACCUCUUACACAC